rnacentral:rRNA from 1 species
GGACUACUGGGGUAUCUAAUCCUGUUUGCUCCCCACGCUUUCGUGCCUGAACGUCGGUGCUGGACCAGGAAGCCGCUUUCGCCACUGGUGUUCCUUCCGAUAUCUACGCAUUUCACCGCUACACCGGAAAUUCCGCUUCCCUCUUCCGCACCCUAGCUACGCAGUCUCGAAUGCAAUUCCCAGGUUGAGCCCGGGGCUUUCACACCCGACUUAUGUAACCGUCUACGCACGCUUUACGCCCAGUAAUUCCGAUUAACGCUUGCACCCUCUGUAUUACCGCGGCUGCUGGCAC